GGUUUGCUUAUCAACCUCUAUGGGACAGUUCUAUUGACUGACAGAAGGCCGGAGUUAGGUAAAUCUUCAAUUUGAACUUUUGUAAAGUUGUUGAUAAGGAUUGAUCUAGCUGAUAAAAAUGGAAGCAAGGACCGCAAAGGUAUUGGAUAGAAAUGGCAGAAUUGUGAUUGGCAUGAAGAGGAAGAGAGCAGCACGGCAUGCGUCACAUUUUGCUGGAGCUUCCAACACAUUGUUACCACAGUGGUCUACUUUGUAUUUUUCGACGCAUAAGCUUGGUAAGCGAAGAAAAUUAGCUAAAUACAAAAGCAAGCUCAAUACUGGUGGGAACUCUAUUAGAAAAUCUUUGAUCCAAUAUUAUUCAAAUUUUAUGAAAACAAAAAUGGCACAACGUAUAUUGUUUUUCGAGGAUGGUCAAUGGAGUGAUUUUCCUCAAAUUCUUCUUGGCAUGAUAAAGAAAGAUUUUGAAGAAAAGAAGGCAGCAAUUGAGGUUGAGUUAAAUGGUCAACAAUUUGUUCUAGAUUUCUUGCAUAUGUUGCGACUAGACUUGAANNNNNN
rnacentral:lncRNA from 1 species